rnacentral:rRNA from 1 species
GACGUAGGGCGCGAGCGUUGUCCGGAUUGAUUGGGCGUAAAGAGCUCGUAGGCGGCUCGUUGCGUCGGCUGUGAAAACCCGCAGCUCAACUGUGGGCCUGCAGCUGAUACGGGCGGGCUGGAGUUCGGUAGGGGAGACUGGAAUUCCUGGUGUAGCGGUGAAAUGCGCAGAUAUCAGGAGGAACACCGGUGGCGAAGGCGGCUUCCUGGACCGACACUGACGCUGAGGCGCGAAAGCUAGGGGAGCAAACGGG